UAACAAGGAUUCCCCUAGUAACUGCGAGUGAAGCGGGAUGAGCUCAAAUUUUAAAUCUGGCAGAGUAACCACUGUCCGAAUUGUAAUUUAGAGAAGUGUUUUCUGUGCCAGGCCGUGUACAAGUCUCCUGGGAUGGAGCGUCAUAGAGGGUGAGAAUCCCGUCUUUGACACGGACUCUAAUGGUGCUCUGUGAUACACUCUCAAAGAGUCGAGUUGUUUGGGAAUGCAGCUCAAAAUGGGUGGUGAACUCCAUCUAAAGCUAAAUAUUGGCGAGAGACCGAUAGCGAACAAGUACCGUGAGGGAAAGAUGAAAAGCACUUUGGAAAGAGAGUGAAACAGUACGUGAAAUUGCUGAAAGGGAAACACUUGAAGUCAGUCACAUUGGCUAGAACUCAACCUUCCCCUUUGUUGUGGGUUGGUGUACUUUCUAGUGAAUGGGCCAGCAUCACUUUUGGCUAUUGGAAAAGGGUUGAAGGAAUGUGGCACUCUGUUUCAGGGUGUGUUAUAGCCUUUGAUCAUAUACAGUAGCUUGGGAGUGAGGAAAGCCUUUAUUGUAGGAUGCUGGCAUAAUGGCUUUAAAUGAC
rnacentral:rRNA from 1 species